rnacentral:lncRNA from 1 species
GCAACUUAUACAUCAUCCUGUCCAACCUCCUUGUUUUACACAGGAGGAAAUGUGAACUCAAGAGGCAAAACAACUUGUCCAAUGGCAUGCAACUAGUUAUAUGGCGGAAUUGGAUCUAGUUGCUGGUCUUCUUAUUCUUUUUUCAUUGCUUUUUCCAUAACACAACAUGGCCUCUCUAAUUAUUAACUAUGACCUGGCAUUCCACCACCCAUCACAUAUUUAUUGAGUGCUUACUAUUCACUUACCUAUGUUUUCAGGACCAGCUCAAGGAAAAACGAAUUAAGUCAACAAUAAAGAGCCAUUUAUUAACGCACACUAUCUCAUUUAAUCCUCACCAUAGCAAGAUGAGACUGAGGUAAUUAUGUCUGUGACAAAUGAGGAAAACAAAAUUUGCUUAUGGUAGCUAAUGGAUAGCAAAGCUGUGAUUCAAACUGAAGCUGUCCGACUCUGUAUUCUAAGUUUAUCAUCUUAUACCACGUUGCCUUUCUCAAUCCAGAUCUUUCCAUCUUCAACUUUUAUCCCCCCUUACACACUUAUUUCCACAGGGCCUUUUUCUAAUCCAGUUGUCAAGGAUGGGCCAUCAUUUGGAAAAUUACAAUCUCAAGGAGCUGACAUUCUGGGGCCUACAGACCAAAGACCAUAAACAAGUGAAUGGGAAAAUCUCCAGGACGUAAAGGAGGGUAGAUUCACUGGCAGAAGGUGCCUUGGUCCCUGAAUGACUACAUGGAGCACUGUCCUGUCCCCUCCCUACAACUGUCACUGGACUCUGACAUGAUUUUGCACAUUUAUAUGAGGAUGUGAUGCCUGGAACUACAACAGCGACCUUGUCUUCAUUAAGAGAAAAAUCUGAAAGCAAAAAAUGACAGGCUACAGAUGGCUAAGGCUGUGGAGCCAGUUCUGGAAGCAACCUAUUACCAGAAGUGUUUUAGGGGACAAGACUCUUGGGUGGCCAGAACUGAAGACUCAGAAAUGACAGCCCUCUUACCCUCCGAGGUACUGACUGAGACGUAGGAAGUUCCAUCCACAAGGUGCUGUGUUGUGCAGGGUCCGAGAGGACCUGGCUCAGGAUUCUGACUAGACACUCUAAACGUUUUGUACUCUGGGGAAAGCAACGCUCCCUCAGCUUCUGUUUCUUUAGUUUUAAAAGCAAAGAGCCUUUACUAGAUGGUGUCUCGCAUUUCUACUAUAGUGCAAUAAUUUAUUCUUUUCUGUUUUGUUUCAUACCAGUUGACUGUGCAAAAAAAUAAAAAGAAACUGACAUGCAUAAAUAAAU